AGCAUGUCUAAAUAUCCAGCUGAUAAUUCAAGACUUCUUUUUGUUCUCUUUUUGCAGAUCUGUGUACCUGGAAGAGCAAAGAAGGGAGUUUCAUAGUUUACCUCAGUCAUGCAGAAGGCAGGGACGGCCCCGUCCUCCCGGGGUCCAAGCGCUCCUGGGUCCCCAGCCACCUCCAUUGUGGCGCGGAUGGACAAUCAGGUCAUUGGAUACAAAGACUUGGCCGCCAUCCCCAAAGACAAAGCCAUUCUCGAGGUGGAGCGGCCAGAUCUGAUGGUGU